GGCCCGGGCUCCUCCUCCUCCGCCGCCGCGCCCCUCCCCCUCGCGGCGCCACCUCCGCGCUCCCCCGGCCGCCGCCGCCGCCGCCGCCGCUGCCGGCCCGCCGCGCAGCCCAGCCCAUGCAGCGCAUGCAGCCCAGCCCGGGCCCGCGUUCGGAGUGCGAGCGCCGCGCGACCCUGCACGCCCGGCCCUGCGGCCUUCUGGGGCGCCCGCUGCCUCUGGCUCCCGGAGUGUGUACAAUAGCUCUUCUAAUGUUAUGAUGAAAGCUUCAAGUCAGGCAGAAUUGAAUAAAGCAUGUCCACGCUUCACCAUCUAGCUCCAGAACACCUGGGAUCCAUCCUAUUGCUGCUGCUUCCCCUGUUGGCUGCUGGUGCCACAGUCAAGCUCCUCUUCUGUCACAAGGCAUAGCCCUUCCAGUUCUGGCUAAACCACUUUGGGAAAACCUCCUUUAUAUGACAGGCAAACAGGGUGCCUGUGAGUGAGAGGGAGGAGCUGGAGACUAGAAGUGAGUUGGUGGUGAAAUAUCUGGUCAUGCUGGGACUGGAUCCCAACAUGGCCAGCCCUUCUCAUUUUCUCAUUUAUUGGGGUGGGUCUACAUUUACCUUUCACCAUCUGGCUCUACCACAUCCUAGACACUCAUUGAUUUAAUGGCUUCCUUUGGCCAGCUCUAUGUCUUCUGCCUUGUUUUCAAUACCCAGCCAGUGCUACCCACAAUCAAUCACCUAAUAACUGCUUUGGGCACAGUCUCUUCGGUCAGAUAGAAAUUCAUUCAUCACCAGCUGAAUGUUGGAUCCUGGUACCUCAGAUCCCGCUUGUCCUCAGGAAUCCAGAGGCUGCCUCUGGUAGAAUUGAAAGGAGGUAUGAGACUCACCUGAAUCUUCAUGAAUCUGGGAACUCCAUGACCUUGAGUUUCAACAAACCUGCUGCCCUUCCUUAGCCCAUUUGAUCCAGAAACGUAUGCAAUGAUCGUAGCUUCUUAUUGAGUUUUCCAAUUGGUUUGUCAGCUGGAAUAGGGUUUCUCAAUCUCAACUCUUGAUGUCUUGAGUUGUGGGGACUGUCCAUGCAUUGUAGGAUGUUCUCCAAACACUCCCUGGUCUCCAAACACUAAAUGCCAGUAGCACCCCCAUUCCUAUUACAUCCAAAAAGCUUCCCA
rnacentral:lncRNA from 1 species